rnacentral:rRNA from 1 species
UACGAAGGGGGCUAGCGUUGCUCGGAAUCACUGGGCGUAAAGGGUGCGUAGGCGGGUCUUUUAAGUCAGGGGUGAAAUCCUGGAGCUCAACUCCAGAACUGCCUUUGAUACUGAGGAUCUUGAGUUCGGGAGAGGUGAGUGGAACUGCGAGUGUAGAGGUGAAAUUCGUAGAUAUUCGCAAGAACACCAGUGGCGAAGGCGGCUCACUGGCCCGAUACUGACGCCUGAGGCACGGAAAGCGUGGGGAGCAAAC